GUUUUAUUAAAAAGUAUAUACAGAUUAUUUACUCCAUAUGUACACGUGAAGACAGUUUAAGUUAAGAGAACGCAAACAGAAGACUGGCCACUGACAACAUUUUGAUCACUUAUUGUAUUUACAUGAUAAAGGUAAUCAGAAUCAGACAUACUUUAAUAAUCCCAGGGGGAAAUUACUUUUGUUACAUACUCCAUAUGAAAUAGACAUACAUAUAUUAAUAAUAUAUAUAUAGUUUAAUUUAAAGUCCCACUUUCUAAUGUGCAAAAAUGGCAAGUGUAAAGUGGUCGCCGGCUUCCUCUUCACCAGAGGCACAUAGCAGGAUGUUGGGUUUGCAGAGGGAGGGAUGUACGACACCGAUGAUGACGUGCGGGAUCUCUCUCGGUAGAUGAUAUGGACGGA